GUCGUAACCGCCAGAGUGAGCGACAUAUACUGAACAUGCAACAAUACAGAGGAGAGUGGCAUGACCUUUGCGCAAGCAUGACACGCGAAUUUGUGAAGCGUUUCAUGUCUUC
rnacentral:snRNA from 1 species